rnacentral:rRNA from 1 species
AAUUGACCUCAGUUUAGGCAAGGCUACCCGCCGAAUUUAAGCAUAUUACUAAGCGGAG